UUCCCUGAGGGGGCGUCGAGGAGAACUCGACAGCCCGAGCUGUGCGGUACAUCUUCCUGCACCUUCCUUCUGAAAUGUGCUCACGGGCAAGGCAGGGCAGCUUGCAAACUGCAUCCCAGAUUCAGUAUUAUUUAGAGACAACACAAAACCGAGAGUUUUUUUCCGUACAGAACCACAAAACUGCAGGGGUCUCCUGGUGUCUGUGGUCGUUCAUUCACCUGCCCAAGACUCUGGAUGAAGGCAUUGCCUUGGCCCCAGUUCAGGUGGCUGCACACAAAAGCUUAACGAUGAAAAAGCAAAUACAGGAGGAAGUUCUUCAAAUCUGAAAGUCCCCAUCCCUUCCUCUGCGCUGUGGAGGCUGUAGCAGAAGUGUUUCGCUGGAGAGUUGUUAAAGGAGCUGGGCACUGACGGCCUGCACACUGUUCUCCCACUUCAGAGGGGCCUGCCUUGGAAAGUAUUUUAUGGUCAGUGGAAAAAAAUGAGGAAGAGGAGGGUGUGGCCGCUGCUGGGAGGCUCUGGCUCUGCAGAGGGUCACUGCCUUGUGGAGAUGGGACGUUCAUCAGGACGAAACAGAGCCGCCUUUUAGGAAAUGUGUGUUGAUCCUCUGAAGCCGAAUCCUCAGGCAUUUGUGGCCCGUCCUUGCAGCCCGGUCCAGCUGGAGCCCUUGGAAGCGCGUCACUCCCUGCGGAGCUGCUGCGGCGUUCCCGAGGCCUGUGCCUGCGGAUCCAGCGUGGAGAGCCCCAUCUCCAGCAGCCAGGUGGAGCAGACACCCAGGGAAAAGGGACUUCGGUGUGGGACAGAGCUCAAAUGUCAGUGCCCCUUCUGCCAUGGCCUAGCAGCCUGGGUGUAGUCGCCCUGUCAGAAGUAUGAAAUUUACAGCAGAAGAAUUAAUUUAACACCAAAAAAGCUCUCCCUCGUCUGAACUGUCAUUCAAAAUGCACAGUGAAAAUCACCAAGGAGAAGUUUUCUACCCCACUGUCUGCAGGACUCCUGGAAGAAUCUUCUGAAACUUGCGGAAGUGGUCUAUUCCAAGAACUCUAAUAUACGAAGACUUGUUAAGGUUAAAGUCUCUGCAGGCUGAAGUUCAUUUUUUGAAGAAGAAACACAGUUAACAGUAAAAUCAGUUCGUAGGUAGGAUAUUGCCAGCCUGGUCGUUUCACUUCUUGCAUGUGUUCAGUUGGAAGUCAACUGAAAAUCAGCAGAAGCUUCCAGCACAUCUGUCUCAGGCUGCCCUUAAAAAGACAAAGCAGUGAUCUGGCAAAAUGAACUCAAAACACACAAGGAGGAACCAUUGGAGACUAACCUGCAAGGUGUUCAGAUUCACUGAUAACAUGGAAACCAGAGUCUGUUAACCACUGGCUGUUCCAGAUACGAUGUCAAAGCCAACAAGGAGAGUUGAAGUAGUGUGACUCAAAAAAAGUAUUUUGGAUCAGCAAGAAACAGUGAUGUUUUCAGUCAUGAACAUGGCAGGACCACCGCAUUGGACCGAACUGCCCAACAUCAUCUCAUAAAGAAUGACUUACUGAGGAGCCAAGUUAGAAAAUGACAGAAGUGAAGAUUGGUCAUCUCUGCAGAGGAAAUGACAAGAGUAGCUUCAAACACAGCUCCUGUGACCUGUGGCUCCUUCUCAUCCAUAAAGAACUGGAGACACAACACGAACAGGCCGGCACAGACAGCACCAGAUGGCCCUCGGAACUGGAGCAGGUUUCAUCUCCCCUGGACUGUGGCCUCACCCUGAUUUCUGGGCAUUAGGAUCUGGUGGUCCUCACCUCUGCCUUGGAGACCUCAGGGAUGCAGGGUGAAUAUUUUUAGCUCUCUCACCUAGCACUGCACCUGAAACUGAAAGUGAAGUCCACAUAUAUUAAAGACAGGCAGUGAAAUCCCUGGAACAUACUCAGGGUUUCCAGGAGCUUGCCACUAUUUGGAUCUGUCUUUCUUCUUAGAGUCUCUGGAAUCAGCUGUAAGUGUAAGUUCUUCAUCCAAAAUUCCCUGUUGUUGGAGUUGGUUGGGUCUGUGGGGUUGUUUGGGCUUUUCACUACUGUGAAUCAUCCUUUUAGUGCCAGACUGGUCCUUUGAACUGGUUUCGCUGUACCAUCCAGCAUAAAGAGUUGCUACUCUGAAAAGUUAUGUUGUUUUAAUCCUUCCACUUCAAAGUAAAUGCUUACAAAAGUGUCACUUUGAAGUCAGUCACACAAUGCACAGCUUUCCUCCAAUUAUGUUAUGUAAUAUGGUUCUGUUGAUAUAAGCAUAGGGUUUAUUUUACACAGAAAGCACUUCCUGAGAGGUGACUGCACAACUCACAGGUUGCUGAAAUGGCACAGAAUUUUAGCCAAAGCUCCAAUGCAAGUUCUUGGCUCUUAGGAAAAAUACUGAGGUCUCUGACUGCAUGCACAAAGAUGAUGUUUAUUUUUAAAUAUUUGAUCUAAGAACCAGAGGCACGGGGUAGGGCGUUUUUCAGAGGAUUAUUCUGAGAGCAAUUGACUUUAAAACCCCUCAGUACAUAGAGAAGACUGU